UCAUGUGUCUAUGCAAUUAGGUAC
rnacentral:siRNA from 1 species